UUGUCUUCCCACCUCAGCCUCCCAAGUAGCUGGGACCACAGGAGGAAAUCUCUUCACUGCUGGCACUGACAAUGGAAGACUGAGGGUGCCCGGGAUCCUUCACCCCCACAUCCAGUGAGUCCACGGAACCCAGGGUAACUGGGAUGGUAUCUGAUGAUAGCAAAUUGGAGUCAGUGUUAGCAAGACUCUCCCACUUGGAAAGACAAAAU
rnacentral:lncRNA from 1 species